AUUAGCACGCGUAGAAGCAGGGUAGCGCGGAUCCCGUAAAUGCUUGCUUGGGCGUACAACUGAACAAUUUAUAAUUGUGAGUUGGCUAAGUAUGAAAGUUGUGUGCGGAGUAUGGCCGUAUUUGAUUACGCGAGCAUGCAAGCAGUACGCCUGUUUCACUUUGGCCGAAAUUCCGCUGCCGCUGCAAGCCAGCUAUCGCCACAUUUUGUCGCCUUCAUUCCUUACGCUACGAGCAAAUAUGGUGCCACCUAUGCAAGAUAAAGCCUGACAUUCUCAAAAACACGCCACUGGGCACCAUAAGAAGCGUGUAUAUGUGUGGCAAUUCCGAAUUUCUGAUCGGUAGGCGUCACAGCUCUCGCGGCUGCCCGCACACCGUGCGCCAUCCCAAGCGACGGAACAGCACAUGAUGCGCGCUGAUUGGCUCGUGUCCGCCGACAAACCACAGGACAAGCGUUCGCGCAUAGUUCGUCUAAAAUCUCUGCAUAUACUUUAAAAAAAACAAGGCAGCGCACCAAGACACUUUAAAAUCAAUAAUUUGUGUUUAAAUACCAGCCUUCCUUCCAGCAACGACGUUUUUAAAUCUCGAAGGCCGUGCUUUUCCAAAAUGCACGCCCUAAAGAAAAAUGUAGAUCUCGGAGGCUAAAUUCACGUUUUAACCGCAGUGCGGCGCUGCCGCAGUGUAACGGUUGACGGUGAGCUGGGUCACGUUGUUUUGCUGUGAGCUGUGAGAGUGUUCGUUACACAGUAAUUUAAUCAUAUUUUCGAAGUGCCUAAACAAACUGUGAUCCGUACCGUGUGCAUUAACCAUCAGGAAACCUCUGGACUUGUGUAACGCCAUUAGUUCGCCUUAUGUUUCGUGUGAUACGCCAGUGUAUUGUGUACUACAGCACCCGUGCGAGCGGCCUUUGUUCUCGCCUGUCCGCGUUCGCUCGUGGAAUACCUGAUACUGUGGCUUCGAAUUAUGGUGCGUGAAAGAAUUUGUUGACAGUUGUGCUUUCGUGCGCUGGUGUUCAUCGGCGAUUCAACAGUGUUCGCGCUGGAAAGAGUGUCGUCGCGUGGUGCCUGCGAGACGAAGAAGCCGUUUGCUGACCACAUUGAAGGUGCCUUGUGAGCUCUCACCCAAGCAACACAUUCCAGAGGUCUGCUGUGAGCAGACGUGGCAAACUGAAGUAACAUUCAGAUAGUCCAAUAAACUGUUCGUAGUUUCAGACAAA